rnacentral:rRNA from 1 species
GACGAACGCUGGCGGCGUGCUUAACACAUGCAAGUCGAACGGAAAGGCCCUGCUUUUGUGGGUUGCUCGAGUGGCGAACGGGUGAGUAACACGUGAGUAACCUGCCCUUGACUUUGGGAUAACUUCAGGAAACUGGGGCUAAUACCGGAUAGAAGCUCCUGCUGCAUGGUGGGGGUUGGAAAGUUUCGGCGGUUGGGGAUGGACUCGCGGCUUAUCAGCUUGUUUGUGGGGUAGUGGCUUACCAAGGCUUUGACGGGUAGCCGGCCUGAGAGGGUGAACGGGCACAAUGGGACUGAGGUACGGCCCAGACUCCUACGGGCGGCAGCAGUGGGGAAUAUUGCGCAAUGGGCGGAAGCCUGAUGCAGCAACGCCGCGUGCGGGAUGACGGCCUUCGGGUUGUAAACCGCUUUCGCAUGUAACGAAGCGUGAGUGACGGUAAUGGGUAAAGAAGCACCGGCUAACUACGUG